rnacentral:misc_RNA from 1 species
GGACUACUCGGGUAUCUAAUCCUGUUUGCUCCCCACGCCUUCGAGCCUCAACGUCAGUUACAGUCCAGUAAGCCGCCUUCGCCACUGGUGUUCCUCCUAAUAUCUACGCAUUUCACCGCUACACUAGGAAUUCCGCUUACCUCUCCUGCACUCCAGUUUUACAGUUUCCAAAGCAGUCCCAUGGUUGAGCCUUGGGCUUUCACUUCAGACUUGCAUAACCGUCUACGCUCCCUUUACACCCAGUAAAUCCGGAUAACGCUUGCCCCCUACGUAUUACCGCGGCGGCUG